CCUGGUUGAUCCUGCCAGUAGUCAUAUGCUUGUCUCAAAGAUUAAGCCAUGCAUGUCUAAGUACACGCCCUCGCAAGGCGAAACCGCGAAUGGCUCAUUAAAUCAGUUAUGGUUCCUUAGAUCGUACAUAUCCUACUUGGAUAACUGUGGUAAUUCUAGAGCUAAUACAUGCGACUGAGCCCUCGGAGCCGUCAAAAGCCGAGAGGGUGCUUUUAUUAGACCAAGACCAGACGUGCCUUCGGGUACGAUCGUCGUGGUGACUCUGGAUAACUAUGGCGGAUCGCACGGCCGCAGCGCCGGCGACGCAUCUUUCAAGUGUCUGCCUUAUCAACUGUCGAUGGUAGGUUAUGCGCCUACCAUGGUCGUUACGGGUAACGGGGAAUCAGGGUUCGAUUCCGGAGAGGGAGCCUGAGAAACGGCUACCACAUCCAAGGAAGGCAGCAGGCGCGCAAAUUACCCACUCCCGGCACGGGGAGGUAGUGAAGACGAAAAAUAACGAUACGGGACUCUAACGAGGCUCCGUAAUCGGAAUGAGUACACUCUAAACCUUUUAACGAGGAUCGAUUGGAGGGUAAGUCUGGUGCCAGCAGCCGCGGUAAGACCAGCUCCAAUAGCGUAUAUUAAAGUUGCUGCGGUUAAAAAGCUCGUAGUUGGAUCUCAGCCGCGCUCCGCGGGACGCGUCGCGAGGCGCCGUACCCGCGGGCCGGCAUUGGGCCGGCGGUCUCCGUUGGCCUUCAAAAGCUGACGGGGCUCGGCGGCGUCUUUACUUUGAAAAAAUUAGGGUGCUCAGAGCAGGCUUGAGCCUGCAUAUUCGCGCAUGGAAUAAUGGAAUAGGACCUCGGUUCUAUUCYRCUGGUWUUCSGAUGCGCGAAUAUGCAGGAGAGGGGCAGACGGGGGCAUUCGUAUUGCGGCGCUAGAGGUGAAAUUCUUGGACCGCCGCAAGGCGGACUACUGCGAAAGCAUUUGCCAAGAAUGUUUUCAUUAAUCAAGAAUGAAAGUUAGAGGUUCGAAGGCGAUCAGAUACCGCCCUAGUUCUAACCAUAAACGAUGCCGACCAGCGAUCCGCCCGAGUUCUUCGUACGUCUCGGCGGGCAGCUUCUGGGAAACCAAAGUUUUUGGGUUCCGGGGGAAGUAUGGUUGCAAAGCUGAAACUUGAAGGAAUUGACGGAAGGGCACCACAAGGAGUGGAGCCUGCGGCUUAAUUUGACUCAACACGGGAAAACUUACCCGGCCCGGACACCGGAAGGAUUGACAGAUUAAUAGCUCUUUCUUGAUUCGGUGGGUGGUGGUGCAUGGCCGUUCUUAGUUGGUGGAGUGAUUUGUCUGGUUAAUUCCGAUAACGAACGAGACUCCAGCCUGCUAAAUAGACCCACGGUCCGCAGUACCGUGAGCGGGUCUUCUUAGAGGGACGGGCGGCUCUUAGCCGCAUGAAACGGAGCGAUAACAGGUCUGUGAUGCCCUUAGAUGUCCGGGGCCGCACGCGCGCUACACUGAAGGGAUCAGAACGCGUUUCCCCUAGCCCGAGAGGGCUGGGAAACCGUGUGAACCCCCUUCGUGCUAGGGAUAGGGGAUUGUAAUUGUUCCCCUCGAACGAGGAAUUCCUAGUAAACGCGAGUCAUCAGCUCGCGUUGAUUACGUCCCUGCCCUUUGUACACACCGCCCGUCGCUACUACCGAUUGAAUGAUUUAGUGAGGUCUUCGGACCGGUCCGGCGGAGGGCCCCGGCCAUUCUCCGGACUCGGGAAGAUGCCCGAACUUGGUCAUUUAGAGGAAGUAAAAGUCGUAACAAGGUUGCCGUUGGUGAACCAGCGGCAG
rnacentral:rRNA from 1 species